UACGGAGGAUGCGAGCGUUAUCCGGAUUUAUUGGGUUUAAAGGGUGCGUAGGCGGACUGUCAAGUCAGCGGUAAAAUUGAGAGGCUCAACCUCUUCCCGCCGUUGAAACCGGUGGUCUUGAGUGGAUGAGAAGUACGCGGAAUGCGUGGUGUAGCGGUGAAAUGCAUAGAUAUCACGCAGAACUCCGAUUGCGAAGGCAGCGUACCGGCAUCCAACUGACGCUGAGGCACGAAAGCGUGGGGAUCAAACAGG
rnacentral:rRNA from 1 species